GCUCGCUUAGCUCAGUUGUAGAGAGCGUUCGGUUUACACCCGAAAGGUCAUGGGUUCGAGUCCCUUAGCGAGUACCA
rnacentral:tRNA from 1 species